rnacentral:rRNA from 1 species
GGUGAACGCUGGCGGCGUGCCUAAGACAUGCAAGUCGAGCGGGGCAGGUUUAUACCUGUUCAGCGGCGGACGGGUGAGUAACGCGUGGGUGACCUACCCGGAAGAGGCGGACAACCUGGGGAAACCCAGGCUAAUCCGCCAUGUGGUCCUGUCCUGUGGGGCAGGACUAAAGGGGCGACCCGCUUCCGGAUGGGCCCGCGUCCCAUCAGCUAGUUGGUGGGGUAAAGGCCCACCAAGGCGACGACGGGUAGCCGGUCUGAGAGGAUGGCCGGCCACAGGGGAACUGAGACACGGGGCACGCUCCUACGGGAGGCAGCAGUGAGGAAUCUUCCGCAAUGGACGGAAGUCUGACGGAGCGACGCCGCUUGGAGGAGGAAGCACGUCGGGGUGUAAACUCCUGAACUGGGGACGAAAGCCCCGUGUAGGGGGAUGACGGUACCCAGGUAAUAGCGCCGGCCAACUCCGU